UUUUUUUUUGGUCGAGCAGAAUAUGAGUUCGUUUGCUGGAUUUCAUGGCUGCAAUUUGCUGUGUUUUCUACCGACUGGCAACCCGCGGUAAAUUGGCAUUGGGCUGACAAAAACAGAUAUUCCGACACGGAAUGCACAUUUCAAAGUAGAAUUACUGCCUAUGAGACGACUAGGACUUUCGGCCGUAUUUUAGCUGGAAGCAAUCAUUUUAAGUUAGAAACCUCUUAUCGGUAGGUUUGGACUCAUUCUGACGGCACCCAUUCACUGAGGAGGAUCCAUUAGUGAUCAAGUGAUGCAAUGCUACAUUUCUCCAAAUCUGUUCUGAUGAAGAAACAAACUCGGAUGCCCUGAGGGUUCAGAUUUUAAAUCCCAGGUUUUCAAAAGUGCCUCAGACUUUUGGACCCCAGCCGUGUUCGCCGGAGGGAUGGACCCUGACGCCUCUGUCUGCUUACCUGCGUCUCUGUCAGGCACAGCCCGUUGGCUAACUGCUUCCGCUCGGCUCCCACCACGUAAUGGUUCUUCUCAAAG